rnacentral:rRNA from 1 species
AUGCUGGAAUGCUCCAUGGCUGAAAGCUCCGGCGCCUGAGGAUGGGUCUGCGGCCUAUCAGGUAGUAGUUGGGGUAACGGCCCAACUAGCCUAAAACGGGUACGGGCCUUGAGCGAGGAAGCCCGGAGAUGGACUCUGAGACACGAGUCCAGGCCCUACGGGGCGCAGCAGUCGCGAAAACUUCACACUGCGGGAAACCGUGAUGAGGGAACCCCAAGUGCCCAGGCGUUAGUCUGGGCUGUUCACAUGCCUAAAAAGCAUGUGAAGUAAGGGCUGGGUAAGACCGGUGCCAGCCGCCGCGGUAAUACCGGCAGCCCAAGUGGUGAUCCCUAUUAUUGAGCCUAAAACGUCCGUAGCCGGCCCGGCAAAUCUCUGGGCAAAUCGGGCAGCUUAACUGUUCGAAUUCUGGAGAGACUACCGGGCUUGAGACCGGGAGAGGCCAGAGGUACGUCAGGGGUAGGGGUAAAAUCCUUUAAUCCUUGACGGACCACCGGUGGCGAAGGCGUCUGGCUAGAACGGAUCUGACGGUAAGGGACGAAGGCUAGGGGCGCAAACCGGAUUAGAUACCCGGGUAGUCCAAGCUGUAAACGCUGCAGGCUUGGUGUUGGAACUCCUUAGAGGGGUUCCAGUGCCGUAGCGAAGGUGUU